CCUUGUCUCAAAUAAACAAAUUAUCACAGCCAUCACCAUUACUGAAAAUCAUUACUUUUCUGAUAAAUUUGAAUUACCAUUACAAUUCAUUGCUAUGCACCUCUCUUUCUUUCUACCCUUUUUCCUUCUUUAGUGCCUCAAUCUUGCAAUGUACCUCUAUCUUGCAAUGGACCAAGGUACUACUGAUGUCAUCACAUAAUGAGUCUUACAUAAUUCAAGACAAAGGCGUCAAGACAACACUAAGACUAAAAACUGAUUUAUUAAAUUAUUGUGUUUUUUAUAAUUAUUAUUGUUCAAAUGGAAUAUUUGGCACUGUGCAGCAAA